AUGAGCUUGACUAGGGCGAGGGGCUCGUGCUCGUGCUCGAGCUCGACAAGACGCACUUCGAUCUCGUCACCAACUACGAGCUGGACUGUGAGACUCCAGAGCAGGCGGGGGCGACGAAGACGAAAGUGGGGGCAGUUCGAGCUUGUCGCUGCCGGAGACCCUGGAGAGGUGCGCGAAGAGACCUGGUUAGAUUUGUUGGCCACCACUGUAAACUGGACUAAUAACAAAUCGGAUGUCAUCUCUCAUGUUGCCGAUUCAACCCUGGANGCUGUAUGUUGGUUUUGGAAAUCAUUUACCUUUCAAUCUUGGAAGGCCCUAAGCUAA
rnacentral:rRNA from 1 species